rnacentral:tRNA from 1 species
GGCUGGAUAGCUCAGUUGGUAGAGCACUGGAAUGAUAAUCUGGAGGUCGCAGGUUCAAACCCUGCUCCAGUCA